rnacentral:rRNA from 1 species
GACAGAGGGUGCAAACGUUGCUCGGAAUUACUGGGCGUAAAGCGCGUGUAGGCGGACCGCCAAGUCGGACGUGAAAGCCCUGAGCUCAACUCAGGAACUGCAUCCGAAACUGGCGGUCUGGAGUAGUGGAGAGGAAAGCAGAAUUCCUGGUGUAGAGGUGAAAUUCGUAGAUAUCAGGAGGAACACCGGUGGCGAAGGCGGCUUUCUGGACACUUACUGACGCUGAGGGACGAAAGCUAGGGGAGCGAACGGG